rnacentral:rRNA from 1 species
GCACGGAAAAGUUGGCCUGUGCCUUGUGGGCUGUGGCGAUUGGGCGGAGGAUGAGGCGCGUGUGAGCCACACCACGCCAGGCUACACCUUCCUCCGCCGCACACCGCGCCCCCGAACCCCUCUGAAAAUCACGAGCGCACAUCAUCCCCACCGGCCACCGCUCGCAUUCUUACAACAGCCAUGGCCACGGCGGCCUCGCCGCCGGCGGCAGCUUCCGCUCGGGCGUCGGCGAUCCGCUCCCGCGCUGGCCGCCUCUCCCUCCCCGCGGCCCUCCCGGCGGACGGCCGUGGUGACACUGCCACCACCUACAAGGAGCUCGGUUUGUACUCCUGGAAAAGGAGGAUCGAAGAUGCGGUUAUCCGAGUCGAAUUGUCUGCAUCCAAUGCACUGGAGAGGGAGGAAGCACGGAGAAUCAAACAUGAAGAAGUACUGCAAAGCCGUAACUUGUGGGACAAUCCGGCCAAGUCGCACGAGACGCUCUCUGCCCUGUCCGAUGCCAUCAGAGCGGUUGAUCAUCUCAAAGACCUUCUAUAUAAGGCUGAAGAGGCUAAAUUGAUAAGUCAACUAGCAGGCAUGGAUGUCAUAAACGGAGAGCUAUUUAAGCAAGCAUAUGAUAUCUCUUUGGAUGCUAGUGAGUUUCUAGAUCGUUACCAGAUGUACAAGCUUCUUAAGGGUCCAUAUGACAAGGAAGGAGCUUGUAUCAUUGUCACUGCUGGAUCAGAGGGUUUCGCUUCAGAGCUAUGGGCAGAGAAGCUAUUUGACAUGUAUACAAGUUGGGCACGCAGGCAAGGUUGCAAAGAAGGACUGGUAGAGAAGAUCGCAUCAACGAGUGGUCAUACCCAGUUUGCAGCCAUGGAGAUUGAAUCAGAGUACAUGUUUGGCACCCUUUCUGGAGAAAAAGGAAUUCACAGAAUGAUCUACUCUACUGUUGAAAAUUCUGGCACUGACAAGGCGAUUUCAGCUAGAGUCGAUAUUAUUCCUCUCUUCUUGGAUAGACCAGUUAAUUUUCACUUGGACGACAGCGAUCUGGAGAUUUCUCCACGACCAAGUGAAUGUGAAAAUCGAGAUCGAAGAAAUGGUGCCACUGUGAGAGUUCAACACAUACCAAGUGGAGUUACUGCCGAAAGCUCAGGUGAAAGAAGCUAUUUUGCAAACAAGCUAAAAGCCGUGAGCAGGCUGAAAGCAAAGCUACUCAUCAUAACAAGAGAACUAAGACUACCAGACCCGAAGAUGAUCGGAAAACAAGCCGUGGAGGAAGGAUGCAACCGCGAGACGAGACGAUAUACGUUUGGCCCCCAGGAAUUGGUCCAUGAUCUGAACACGGGCAUCCAGUUGUCAGACCUCAACUCGGUCCUGGAAGGCGACAUCGAACCGUUCAUCAGGGGUCGUAUUGUUUCAAGACAUGGAUGACGAUAUGCAAGAAUUUGUGUGCAGUUCUGUAAAUCCAUUUUUGCUGAUACAAAUAUAGCACAUUACCAGAGGAUGACCUCUGUAACAUGGGUCACAUUUCAAGCCAAAAAGGCAAAUAUACCAGGUAUAGGAAAGCAUGUUCUCUCACCAGCCGCUUACUCUGACAAUCCGACUCAUCGUGUACCGGAUGCAGAUGCUCUUUCCCUGUCAAGCUUGCGAGCGUGGGCGUGCACGGCGCGCCAGUGCUCGUCGAACGCCGCCUGGUGCUUGUCCUGCAGCCCCCUCUGCCGGUUCAGCGCGACGCCGAGCGCCAUCAUGGCGUGGUCCUGGCAGUCGAUCUUCGCCGGCGCGAGUAGGUGCUGGGGGAUGUGGCCAUAGUGCUGACUGCCGUCGGCCUCUAUGUACGGCAGGAACGACAGUGCGUAGAGGACGGCCCCGAGCCAGUACUCGGAGAGGCUCCUCCAGUUCUUCACCCGCUCCACCAUGUGCGCCGGGCAGCGUUGCACAUCAUGUGGCCGAGCACGCCGCCGACGCUCCUGAACCUGACGGCCUCACAGACCAUCACCGACAUGGUCAUCGGCGAUCUCACGAUCUCCUGCUGGGUGCCGGCGUUGGCCGUGACGCGCUCCGCCGCGGCUUCGAGCUCCUCCUUGCCGAGGGUGAGUGCCUCAAGUGCCGUCUUGGCCACUCUCGCCAUAUCGCCGUAGCUACCGGCGAACGAGAGUGGCGCCGCGCCGUCGAUUAGGGAGCCACCGAGGAACUCGGACCAUAGACCUUCCGGGCUCCGGUAACCGGAGAUGUAGAGGUUGUCUGCGCGUAUCCGGAGCAGCACUGACUUCCCGGAGCCGCAUCUGAGCGUGACGCCGAACCAUGGGGCCUUGCGUGGGUCCUGUCAGGUCCAAAGCUCAGAAUCAAGCAAUUUAACUACCAGAGCAACAAAUUUAGGAGGAGAACAGGAGCUUCAAACUAGGGUUAUUGCUAAGAAAUGGGGAAAAUAGGGUCAGCACGCCACUGGCGGCUAGGGUUUACACCCAAUACAAGAAAAUCAUACCCACACUCCGGGCAGAGGCUGGCUUUAUAGCCAUUACACUAUAAAGCAAAAGAAAGUGAAAAGCAGAGUACAUGGCCCUGUCGGAUAAGCUACAACUAAGUGAAAGCACCAUGGCCGCUGGAUGGUAGAUCGACGAAGGAGAGAUGCCAUCAUCUGAUGAACCGUUAUCAACCCCUCCGAACCACACGAUGAGAAAUCUACGGCUAAU